CUUUUAAUGAGAGUUUGAUCCUGGCUCAGGACGAACGCUGGCGGCGUGCCUAAUACAUGCAAGUAGAACGCUGAGGUUUGGUGUUUACACUAGACUGAUGAGUUGCGAACGGGUG
rnacentral:rRNA from 1 species